AACGUAGGUGGCGAGCGUUAUCCGGAUUUACUGGGCGUAAAGGGUGUGCAGGCGGGCGACCAAGUGGUGUAUGAAAUCUCCCAGCUAAACUGGGAUAGGUUAUGCCAGACUGGUGGUCUAGAGUGCGAGAGAGGGGCGUGGAAUUCCGGGUGGAGCGGUGAAAUGCGUAGAGAUCCGGAGGAACACCGACGGCGCAGGCAGCGUCCUGGCCGCUUGCUGACACUGAGGCACGAAAGCUGGGGGAGCAAACAGG
rnacentral:rRNA from 1 species